GUGUCAGCCGCCGCGGUAACACGUAGGGGCCAAGCGUUGUCCGGAUUUAUUGGGCGUAAAGAGCUCGUAGGCGGUUCGACAAGUCGGGUGUGAAAACUCCGGGCUCAACCCGGAGACGCCACCCGAUACUGUCGUGACUGGAGUCCGGUAGGGGAGUGGGGAAUUCCUGGUGUAGCGGUGAAAUGCGCAGAUAUCAGGAGGAACACCGGUGGCGAAGGCGCCACUCUGGGCCGGUACUGACGCUGAGGAGCGAAAGCGUGGGUAGCAAACAGGAUUAGAAACCCUCGUAGUCC
rnacentral:rRNA from 1 species